rnacentral:lncRNA from 1 species
GGGGCAGUAUUGGAACUUGUACAAUUUUAAAACAUAAAUAAGUACACCAAGGAAUCACCAAAGAAUACACAAAACAGCAAUAUGUACACAUAAGCGAACCUAAGCCAUGUUAUUUAAAUACAUACAAUCAAGUUCUUCGCGUGAACAGGAAAACAAAU